rnacentral:rRNA from 1 species
CUGGAAUAAUACACCGAAAGGGGUACUAAUACCGGAUAUUCUUGCUUUAUAUAAGUUUUGCAAGCAAAGGUGGCCUCUGACAUAAGCUACUGCAUAAAGAGGGGUCUGCGUACCAUUAGCUAGUAGGUGGGGUAAUGGCCUACCUAGGCUACGAUGGUUAGCGGGUCUGAGAGGAUGAUCCGCCACACUGGCACUGGAACACGGGCCAGACUCCUACGGGAGGCAGCAGUGAGGAAUAUUGCGCAAUGGGGGCAACCCUGACGCAGCGACGCCGCGUGAGUGAGGAAGGCCUUCGGGUCGUAAAGCUCUGUCAAAGGGAAAGAAAUGUAUAAUGGCUAAUACCUGUUAUAUUUGACGGUACCCUUAAAGGAAGCACCGGCUAACUCCGUGCCAGCAGCCGCGGUAAUACGGAGGGUGCAAGCGUUGUUCGGAAUUACUGGGCGUAAAGGGCACGUAGGCGGUUUGAUAAGUCAGAUGUGAAAGCCCACGGCUUAACUGUGGAAGUGCAUUUGAUACUGUCAGACUUGAGUACCAGAGGGGAAAGUGGAAUUCCCGGUGUAGAGGUGAAAUUCGUAGAUAUCGGGAGGAAUACCGGUGGCGAAGGCGACUUUCUGGCUGGAUACUGACGCUGA